GGGGGCGUACCGGUUUCGACGGGGGCUUUGAAGCAUGGACAGCGAGUACAGGUGCGGAACCUGUAUAAAAUCCGCAACCUAAAAUAAACGCUAACAAUAACGUUAGAAAAGUAAACUUCAACAACAUGGCGGUAGCUGCGUAGUUUGAGUUUACUGCGCCGCAGUAUUGCGGCCCAUCCUGCUGUGUUUUACCACGGGCAUAGAUAGGGUGUCAUUUUAGUGGUCAACGCUUUUUAGCAGCGCUCCGGGCUGAUUAGCGUAUUAGGAGCUACCUGGGGCCGCAGUUUGUUUGCCGUCGGCGGCCUUGGGGAAACUUAAACGACAAACUGCACUCGGAGAGGUUCAUGUGAAUGGGUUUUCGGACAGGGGUUCAACUCCCCUCGCCUCCACCA
rnacentral:tmRNA from 2 species